rnacentral:rRNA from 1 species
CCUACGGGUGGCAGCAGUGAGGAAUAUUGGUCAAUGGACGAGAGUCUGAACCAGCCAAGUAGCGUGAAGGAUGACUGCUCUAUGGGUUGUAAACUUCUUUUAUAAAGGAAUAAAACGAGGUACGUGUGUCUUUUUGAAUGUAUCGUAUGAAUAAGGAUCGGCUAACUCCGUGCCAGCAGCCGCGGUAAUACGGAGGAUCCGAGCGUUAUCCGGAUUUAUGGGGUUUAAAGGGUGCGUAGGCGGCUUAUUAAGUUAGCGGUAAAAUCGUGGAGCUCAACUCCAUCCAGCCGUUUAUACUGUUGGUCUAGAGAGUGCGAGAGGUAUGCGGAAUGUGUGGUGUAGCGGUGAAAUGCAUAGAGAUCACACAGAACACCGAUUGCGAAGGCAGCUUACC